UUGAACGCUGGCGGCAUGCCUUACACAUGCAAGUCGAACGGCAGCGCGGGGCAACCUGGCGGCGAGUGGCGAACGGGUGAGUAAUAUAUCGGAACGUACCCUAGAGUGGGGGAUAACGUAGCGAAAGUUACGCUAAUACCGCAUACGAUCUAAGGAUGAAAGUGGGGGAUCGCAAGACCUCAUGCUCCUGGAGCGGCCGAUAUCUGAUUAGCUAGUUGGUGGGGUAAAGGCCUACCAAGGCAUCGAUCAGUAGCUGGUCUGAGAGGACGACCAGCCACACUGGAACUGAGACACGGUCCAGACUCCUACGGGAGGCAGCAGUGGGGAAUUUUGGACUAUGGGCGAAAGCCUGAUCCAGCAAUGCCGCGUGUGUGAAGAAGGCCUUCGGGUUGUAAAGCACUUUCGGACGGAACGAAAUCGCGCGGGUUAACAGCGCGCGUGGAUGACGGUACCGUAAGAAGAAGCACCGGCUAACUACGUGCCAGCAGCCGCGGUAAUACGUAGGGUGCGAGCGUUAAUCGGAAUUACUGGGCGUAAAGGGUGCGCAGGCGGCCCCGCAAGUCAGACGUGAAAUCCCUGGGCUUAACUUGGGAAUGGCGUUUGAAACUACGGGGCUGGAGUGUGGCAGAGGGAGGUGGAAUUCCACGUGUAGCGGUGAAAUGCGUAGAGAUGUGGAGGAACACCGAUGGCGAAGGCAGCCUCCUGGGCCAACACUGACGCUCAUGCACGAAAG
rnacentral:rRNA from 1 species